AUGCCGGCCAGCACGCUGCUGGUGGUUGGUGGGUGGGUAUUCUCGCCGAUCAUCAAGGAGCUCAUCGGCGAGGCCAGAUCCUUGGUGAGCAGCAAGUACUCGAGCUUCAAACAUCUGACCAAGCACCUCCGUCAGCUUGUAGAUGUCCUGGAGGAGAUGACCGCGACCGUCGAGGCCGUGCAGCAGCAGGCUGAACUGCGGCGCUCCGACGAGGACGUCUCCGCCGGCGGCGGGAUGGCUAGCUGGGUGGGCCGGCUCGUCGACGCCAUCCACGAUGUGGAGUCCGUCCUGGACGUCUUCACCUACGACGACAUCGUCAUGUCCAACCUGCGCGACAACAAGGUCGCUCAGGUUGCUCACUCCGCGGCCAGAGCCGGCCGACGGCUGAUCGGCAGGGACAAGGCGUUCAACCGGCUCAAGAAACUCCUGGACGAGCUUCCGCUUAUCCAGCAGAGCCUGCGGGAUCUCGCCCAGCUGCCGCGGAACGACUCCGGCGGCAGCCGGGGCCGAGGAUACUCGCGCUCCGUGUCACGAAAGGCGACUGGCCCGCUGCUACCGGGGGCGACGGGCCAAGAACUGUUCGUGGGGUACGAGCGGGAGUAUGGCCGGCUCGUCUCGGCCCUGCUCAACGACGUCAGCGACCAGCCCAGUAGCAGCAGCAGCAACAAGAAUGUCGUGGCGGUCAUCGGCCACAGCGGCAUCGGGAAGACCAUGAUCGCUCGGCGGGCAUGGCAUGACGAGAGAAUCAACGGGAACAACAACAAGAAGCACUUCGAUCUGAUGGUGUGGGCGAGCGUUGGAUGCAUGUUCACCGAGACCGAGCUGUUGGCCGAGAUCUGGAGGUCCAUCCCCGGAUCAAGCGGCGUGGAGGAGAAAUGCGCCGCCGCGGGGAUGAGCUUCGGCGUGCUACAGCAGGCGAUCAGCGGGCUGGUCGGCUCCAGGAGGUGCCUGCUCGUGCUCGACGACGUGUGCAACGACGAGUCCGGCCGUGACUGGACGGAGAAGAUGAGGACAACUUGGGAGGACGUGCUAGCCCCGUUCCGGGACGGAGGCAACGGGAGCAGGAUCCUGGUGACGUGCCGAGCUACCAUCUGCGCCAAGGUGCUCGGUGCCGGCACCAAGAUCCCGCUGAAUGGGCUCCGUGCCGACGACCUCGUCCUCGUGCUCAAGAAAACCGCCUUCGGUGACGCCCAUAAAGAAACUCCGGUUCUCGACGGUGUGAUCAGGAGUGUCGCGGAGCAGCUGAGGGGCUCGCCAUCGGCGGCGAAAACUAUCGUCGGCAUGGUGAGGAAUAAACAACGGAAGAAAGACUGGAAGAAACUGUUGGAGAAGGUAGGGUCAUGGUACGCCGGUGAGGUUCCUCUUGCUGGCGCUGCCUACGAGUCCAGCCUGCGGUCUUGCUUGAAAUUUUGCAGCAUGUUCCCCGACAAAUGGGAGUUCGAGGCUGAAACGUUGGUCAAGAUGUGGAUUGCACAUGGCAUCAUCCGCGGUGACCACGGCCAGAGCAUGGAGGAUGUCGGGAGAGAAUACGUCAGAGCGCUACAGGCAAGGUCCAUGCUCAAAACCAUCUCCAGGGAUGGCAGAGCGACCUGCUUUGCCAUCCAUGAGCAGGUGUCAGUCUGCGCGACCGGGUUCUUGAGAUUAAGCAACGAUGAUCUUGUCAGAAGAAGGGGUAGCAUCCCGGCAAGUGUUCGACACCUAUCCCUGACCGGCGGAGGUUGCCUUGCCCUAGCACAGCUCAAGGACAACCCUGUGUUGAAGAAGCUGCGGACACUGUUAAUCUUCGAUGAUGGCCACUCAAGCUCGGGCACUGCUGUUUCCGCCAUUGACAACCAUGUACUGAAGCAGCUCAAGGCCGUCAGAGUGGUCGACUUUGCCGGCACACGCAUCACCGAGUUGCCGAAAGGCGUCGGCAAGCUGAAGCAUCUGCGGUAUUUAGGUCUGCCCGACUCUGUCAGGAGCAUUCCGGCCGCGGUUACCAAGCUGCUGCACCUACAGACACUGUCUCUCGGCAAAGACUGCAAGCUUGAUGGCGACCAUGGGUUCCCGGGUGAUGGCAUGAGCAGGUUGAUCAACCUUCGGCACCUCGACAUGGACAUGAAGUACGUUGCCAUGAUACGUGGCAUCGGGAGGCUGGAGAAACUCCAGGGAUCAGUAGAGUUCUGCGCCGACAGGGGAAGGGGGCAUGGCAUGGAAGAGCUCGCAGGCAUCCACUCCAUCCACGGCACGCUCACCGUGAAGGGGCUUCAGGCCGUCGCCAACAAAGAAGAAGCUCAGAAGGCUCAGCUCGGCAGGAAAGAUUUUCUCAAGACCCUGAAGCUAGAAUGGGAGCCCCCAAAGUUGGGGGACCGGCGAACUUGCUCCACCUCCAUGGACUCACACGAGCAAGUCCUCGAGGGGCUCCAGCCGAACGGUAGGAUCGAGGAGCUACAAAUCCAGAGGUACCAGGGCGCAUCGUCGCCUAGCUGGUUGGAGAGCAACCUGCUGGCGAGCCUGAGCCACCUGAAUCUCGUAAACUGCAGGAACUGGCGAGUGCUGCCAUGCCUGAGCCAGCUUCCUGACCUCAGAGUCUUGCACAUCAAAGAGAUGUACGCCAUUGCUCGGAUCGACCACAGGCUGUACGGCUCCGGCGUGCUCCAGUCGCUGGAGAAACUGGUGCUGAAUGACAUGCCCAGUUUGGUCGAGUGGAGCGCCGAAUCGAGCGACCGUGCGUUUCCUCGUCUCCAGGAGAUACUCAUCCUCAACUGCCCCAGACUGGCGAAGCUGCCCCGGGUGCCGGCCACCGUGAAGAAGAUGAGGAUAGAGAAGGACAGCAGCUCCUACUACCUGGACAUGGCCUUCUCCCCCAAAUCCAGCUCCUUCACGCUGGACGUCCACGGGGAGGCCCUCCAGCUGCUGCAGCAGGACUUGCUGCACCGGGAUCACGCGCUGGCCGUCAGCGCCUUGAGCAUCAGCAAGUACGCAGGGGAGAGCGAGGUGAACGUCAAGCUCCUGUCGUCGGUGCGGAGCCUCUCGCUGAGCCGAUGCGUCGUCACGGACAGGCUGCUGGGGGUGUUCUUCCAGAACCUGCAGUCCCUGGAGAAACUGCAGAUAUCUGACUGCGGCGACUUCCUUGAGUUCCCCGAGGACGCCAUGCCGCCGUCGUUGAAAUCCAUCGAGGUGAACCGAUGCCACCCGACGCUCGCGCAGAAGCUGCGUGGCAGCGCUAGAAUUUCUUCGAUUCCCAGGGUACACAUUUGCUGA
rnacentral:rRNA from 1 species